UAGUCAUAUGCUGGUCUCAAAGAUUAAGCCAUGCAUGUAUCAGUUGGAAUUAUUGUAUUGUGAAACUGCGAAUGGCUCAUUAUAUCAGUUAUUGUUUAUUUGGCGGUAAAUCUGUACAUGGAUAACUGUGGUAAUUCCAGAGCUAAUACAUGUUUCCCAACCCAGCUUUGCAGUAGGGUAGCAAUUAUUAAAAACAGGACUUUCAUGGGCUUCGCUUUUUGAUGGAUGGCUCAUUGCAAUCACGUGGAUUGCAUCAUUUUUGUGUGCGAUGGUCCAUUUUCAUUUUUGACCUAUCAGCUUUGGACGGUACGGUAUUGGCUUUCCGUGGCGAUGAAGGGGAACGGAGAAUUAGGGUUUGAUUCCGGAGAGGGAGCCUGAGAAACGGCUGCCACAUUUAAGGAAGGCAGCAGGCGCGCUUAAUUAGGCAAUCCUGACACAGGGAGGUAGUGACAAGAAAUAACAAUAUANGGCAUUUCUUUCUUGUAAUUGGAAUUUUAAAAGGAUAAAUUCC
rnacentral:rRNA from 1 species